CUACCCCAUCAAUCAACUCUAAACCCUAAGUCUAGAUUAGUUAACCCUAAGAAUAUAAUUGUCUUUUACCCUUCAUUAAAAAUGAGGAAAAAAAUGAUUAUUGUAAACAUGAAAAGUGGUACUAUGAAUGUGCUAUUUGUGGCAAUUUCCCUUAUUAGAAUUCUAAACUCUACAUUCCAAAAACACUACUCCACCCCCAACUCUAAACCCUAAAUUUAGAUUAUUAAUUAUAUGAUUAUAAAUGUUUUUUUUUCUUUAAAAUUGAGAGUAAAAGUGGUUAAAGCAAACACAAAAAGGGGUAUUAUGAAUGUGAUAUUUUUAGCAAUUUUUCAUGAAAUUACAAAAAAUUUAACAAUUUAGGAUUUUAGUGUUUUUUGUAGUUAAUCAAAUUACGCUGGUACGUGACAUCAUCAUCUAGUAUAAAUAGUAAAAAAUAUCAAUAGCAAGAUGAAUUGACGAGAUAAUGGCUCUGGAUGAGAAAAGCGGCAAACAAAAUAAGAUUGUAUCAACCGGGUCUAUUGGUAUAAGUGUGGAUCAAGUGGAUUUAGCGGUCAAAUAAAUAUGUUUGAAUGAAAAAAAUGAAACAAAAAGGAUCCAAAAUACUAUAUAAAUUUAAAAAUAAUAUAUAUAUAUAUAUAUCUUAUAUAUAUAUAUAUUCAAUAUCAUUAAAUAUUUUUCAUAAAUAAUAGUAGCUUUUGUAGAAAAUAUUUUAUAAAUGCAACAAAUAUAAAAUUUUAUUUAAAAUAUUUGGGUACCUUUCAAAUUUUGUUUAGAUCUAUUCGAGUUUCUGUAUUUGGAGCUAAAUAAUUAAAUUUUAUACGAGUAUUUAUAAUUUUUUUUAUAGGUUUGGUUCAGUUCAUAUACCAUUUAAAUUAUGUAAGGGUUUUAAAAAUUCAAAUAUACCUUAAAAUCACCGUCGACAAAAAAAAAACCUUAAAAUAUUCAAAAAUCUAGAUCAAUGACAUGAUUUGGUAUGAGUUCCGUUCAGAUCACAUGACAUGAAAUGCAUGAAUCAGGUUAGACGUGAUGAUAAGAAUUUCAUGACUUGACCUGGUCUUCUAAACACUUUCUAUCUAUUUGGCUCUAUAUUCUAGAAACUUUAUCUCAUUGAUUUGUUUAGUGUUUUUUUUUCUUUGGACAAAGUUUAACAUCAUUUUUUUGCUGACUCUUAUUAAUAUACAAAAGUAAAGGAAAUUGCCACAAAUAUCAUAUUUAUAAUCCUAGUUUUUAUGUUUACACUAAUCGCUUUUACUUUCAUUUUUCGAAAGAGAAAUUUAGGAUUCUAAUAAAUGUAUAAAUAGAUACUUCAAAAAAAUAAAAAUAGUUUCAAACAUACUUUUCAAAAAAAAAGUGAAAAAAAUUUAGAAAAAUUUCGAAUUUGAAAAAAUAUAAUUUGAAAACACAAAAAUUAUUAUUUUUUAUUUAUUAAAUAAUUAUAUAUAUAUAUAUAUAUAGAACAAAAGUAUAUGAGUCUUUUGCCACUUAAUGAAAAAUGUAUUUUGAAAAUAUCCCUUUAUUGGUGGUAAAGAUGAAUAAUUAUAUCAUAAAAGUGGUAAACAUGAAAUUUCCCCAAAAUUAAAAGAUUCUUAUUAAAAAAAAGAAUUCUUCAUCAUACAGUGUUCAUGUAAUUAUUUUCCCAUAAUAAUAACAUUCUUCUAGAAUAAUAUCAACUAAAAUUUUAAUCUGCGCUGAGCGCCUAAGUUUUUUUUAUUUUUAUUUUAAAUAUGAUUAACCAAUUUAUAAAUCUUAAUUAAAAAUAUUAACUUUAAGAUAAUUCAAUCAUGACAAUUAUAAACAUUUUUCUUUAAAUCUCUAUAUAUAAAGGAGUGUUAUAUUCACUCCUGAAGUUGCCACAUAGGAUUCCAAGUCACAAAAUCGAAGUUUCUGGAAGCGACACAUGUCUCGUUCUGCAAAGUGCAGCGUUUCAUUUAAAUUCUUCUGUCAUGGGCUUCUUUUGCGUUUGUGUGGUUGGGAUCUGAAACUGGAAGGUGUAUCCGGCCCGGUUAGAUUGAUUCCACGCUCCAAACCUAAUUUUUUGAUCGAAUAAACGAAGAUCGUCUCUCUUCUUCGUGUUACGGCGACGAGUUGACGUUUGCACUUCUCCCUACGAUAUGAAACGGUCCGAGUUAUGGCUUCGUGUUUACUCCCAAUGAUUGAAUCCCCCACUAUGUCGUCUUCAAUGCUUUGUUUCGAUCUGUAAGGCGGUGUCUCUAAUCCUAUAAAAGGUAAACCUUACUUUCCGUAGAACAUCAUCAUCUUUACUCUUGAUUUCACAUACAUUUGUUGCUUUUGUUUUUGUUUGUAUUUGUUCGUGUUUUGCAGUCGCCAUUUCCUUCUUCGCCUUCGCCGUCAAUCAUCGUCACUCCUCUAACCGAUGAGCAGUAAGGGUUUCUUCAAUUGGUUCAAAGUAUAUGGCUGCUUCAGUUUCAACCAGACUUAUUUGCACUGUUUGAUCCUUUUCAGCUUUACGACGCAUCAUCACUAAUGCAUCUGAAAAUUGUUUAAGCUCUCCUCCAUGUCAUCAAAAGUUUGGUUUUUAGAUCAUGAAGAUCUCUUCAUGUCACUUCCAUUGCAUACAACUAAGAUCAACUUUCAUCCCGAUUGCAGAGAGUUUGGAAUCACAGUGACUCUAAAGCCUCACCAAGUUGAAGGAGUCUCUUCGCUUAUAUACAAAUAUCUACUCAGCGUCAAUGUCCUUCUCGGAUACGUGGUACCACCACUUUUUUUCCGAAACGCUAUCUUUGUGAUUGUAUCCAUGUUGAGUCUAAUCUACAGAUUGAGCAGAUGGGGUUGGGGAAAACUCUACAAGCUAUUUAUUUUUUGAGUUAUCUAAAGUUUCAUCAAGGAUUGCGAAGGCCAUUUUUUGUGCUUUGUCCUUUGAGCGUAACGGAUGGUUGGGUUGAAGAGACAAAAGGUUCACUCCAGAACAUGAAGUUCUUAGGUAUGUUGGUGAUAAAGAUUGCCAUAGGAAUUUUCAUUCGGUGGCAGUAUGCUGUAAUUGAUGAAGCUCAAAUACUCAAGAAUCCCAACAGUGUUGUCUCAUUAGGAAUAUUCAUCGAGUUUUGAACUGAAUGAUAUCAAAAUCUGUCCAUUACAAACUUGCUUUAGUCAUUUAAUAGCUGGGCUAGCAUUCUAUUUUUUGCAAGCUGGUCUAUUGGUUGACUUCGAAAUGAAGUAUCGUUCUAAAUUAUUUUUUCGCUAAAUCAGUGUUGGUUCGUGAGACGUCUAACUAAUAACUAUCUUAUAGCAUAUAUUUUUCCUUAGAAUAAAUUCAACAUAGUUUAUAUCAUCUGUAAAACUUUUAAUAUAUGUAAAUAAAUUAGAAAUAUGAAAAUCUAGUAGUUAUAUUUAAUA